rnacentral:rRNA from 1 species
AUACGGAGGGGGUUAGCGUUGUUCGGAAUUACUGGGCGUAAAGCGCACGUAGGCGGAUUGGAAAGUUGGGGGUGAAAUCCCAGGGCUCAACCCUGGAACUGCCUCCAAAACUAACAGUCUAGAGUUCGAGAGAGGUGAGUGGAAUUCCAAGUGUAGAGGUGAAAUUCGUAGAUAUUUAGAGGAACACCAGUGGCGAAGGCGGCUCACUGGCUCGAUACUGACGCUGAGGUGCGAAAGCGUGGGGAGCAAACAGGAUUAGAAACCCUAGUAGUCC